GAUGAAGAACGUAGCGAAAUGCGAUACGUAAUGUGAAUUGCAGAAUUCAGUGAAUCAUCGAAUCUUUGAACGCAUAUUGCGCUCUCUGGUAUUCCGGAGAGCAUGCUUGUUUGAGUAUCAGUAAACACCUCAACUUCCAUAUCUUUUUUGAAAUGGGAGUUGGACUUGAGUGAUCCCAACGCUUUUCCUCACCGAAAAGUGGCGGGUUACUUGAAACGCAGGUGCAGCUGGACUUUUCUCUGAGCUAUAAGCAUAUCUAUUUAGUCUGCCUAAAAAACAGAUUAUUACCUUUGCUGCAGCUAACAUAAAGGAGAUUAGUUCUUGUGCUGACUGAUGCAGGAUUCACAAAGACGGCUUCGGCCGACUUUGUAAACUCGAUCUCAAAUCAAGUAAGACUACCCGCUGAACUUAAGCAUAUCAAUAAGCGGAGGA
rnacentral:misc_RNA from 1 species